rnacentral:rRNA from 1 species
UGGGGAAUCUUGCGCAAUGGGCGAAAGCCUGACGCAGCAACGCCGCGUGCGGGAUGAAGGCCCUCGGGUUGUAAACCGCUUUCAGCAGGGACGAAAAUGACGGUACCUGCAGAAGAAGCCCCGGCCAACUACGUGCCAGCAGCCGCGGUAACACGUAGGGGGCAAGCGUUGUCCGGAUUUAUUGGGCGUAAAGAGCUCGUAGGCGGUUCCGUCAGUCGGGUGUGAAAACUCUGGGCUCAACCCAGAGACGCCACCCGAUACUGCGGUGACUAGAGUCCGGUAGGGGAGCGUGGAAUUCCUGGUGUAGCGGUGAAAUGCGCAGAUAUCAGGAGGAACACCAACGGCGAAGGCAGCGCUCUGGGCCGGCACUGACGCUGAGGAGCGAAAGCGUGGGUAGCGAACAGG